rnacentral:tRNA from 1 species
GUGGACGUGUCGUAGUGGUUAUCAGGCAUGACUAGAAAUCAUGUGGGCUCUACCCACGUAGGUUCAAAUAUUUCCGUCCACG